AYGGYGGAGACCUAGGCACCCAGAGACGAUGAAGGGCGCAGAUACCGGCGAAACGCUUCGGGGAGCUGGCAACAAGCAUAGAUCCGAAGAUCCCCGAAUAGGGCAACCUGCAAAACUACCAACAAAAUUCAUAAGUUGGAAAGAGAGAACCCAGUGAAUUGAAACAUCUUAGUAGCUGGUGGAAAAGAAAGCAAACGCGAUUCCCGUAGUAGCGGCGAGCGAACCGGGAACAGCCUAAACCUUGUAUGUGCGUUUACGUACAUAAGGGGUAGUGGGAAGACUAAUAAAUUAAAUAAGUGGCUUAUCUUACUUACUUAUAAGUAAGUAAGUAAGUAAGAAUAAAAAACGAAGCAGCUGAAACCUGCACCAUAGAUGGUGAAAGUCCAGUAGUUGCAAUGUAAAAUAGAAUAAGUAAAGUCUAAUCCCGAGUAGCAUGGGACACGUGGAAUCCCGUGUGAAUCAGCGAGGACCACCUCGUAAGGCUAAAUACUACUGGGUGACCGAUAGAGAAAGAGUACUGCGAAGGAACGUUGAAAAGAACCCCCGUAGGGAGUGAAAUAGAACAUGAAACCGUAUGCUUACUAGCAGUGGGAGGGGUCGCCUACUCCUGUUCUUAUAGGUAGGAGUAGAGAACGCCUGACCGCGUGCCUGUUGAAGAAUGAGCCGGCGACUUAGAGGGUCUGGCAGGUUAAGGAGGAAGUUCCGGAGCCAACGCGAAAGCAAGUCUGAAUAGGGCAAAGAAAAGUCAGAUCCUCUGGACCCGAACCCGGGUGAUCUAAUCAUGACCAGGAUGAAGCUUGGGUAACACUUAGUGGAGGUCCGAACCGACCGAUGUUGAAAAAUCGGCGGAUGAGUUGUGAUUAGGGGAGAAAUUCCAAUCGAACUCGGAGCUAGCUGGAUCUCCCCGAAAUGCGUUUGGGCGCAGCGGUCAACGAAAAAGUUGAACUUCAACCAAUAGGAGCCGUCAUGGGGUAAAGAUACUGUUUCGAUGCGGGCUGCGAAAGCGGUACCAAGUCGUGGCAAACUCAGAAUACAUGAUGUAGCCUUCCGUUAGCCAGUGAGACUCGAAGGGAGAAGCUUUCGUUAGUCAAGAGGGAAACAGCCCAGAUCACCAGCUAAGGCCCCUAAAUGGUCACUAAGUGGGAAAGGAUGUGAGAAUGCUGUAACAACCAGGAAGUUCGCUUAGAAGCAGCUACCUUUAAAAGAGUGCGUAAUAGCUCACUGGUAAAGCGUUCUUGCGCCGACAAUGGCCGGGACUUAGAAAAGUGACCUGCCGAAGCUGUGAGAUUUAGAGAAUCUAAAUCGGUAGGGGAGCGUUCCGUUUUUGGGUGAAGUUUCCAUGGAAAUGGGAAUGGACAGAUCGGAAGUGAGAAUGUUGGCUUGAGUAACGAAAACAUUGGUAAGAAUCCAAUGCCCCGAAAACCGUUGGGUUCCUCCACUAGGUUCGUCCAUGGGGGGUGAGUCAGGACCUAAGGCAAGGCCGAAAGGCGUAGUCGAUGGAAAACAGGUUAAGAUUCCUGUACUGUUUUUAUUGGGAACCAAGGGACGAAGUAGACUAAACUGGGACUGUGAUUGGAAUACAUUGGAAGCGUUAAAGCAGACGAUUUUAGAAAAAAAACUAAAAUAAAGGAAAACGUGACCCCUAUUCUUAUAAGUAAUUAGAAGAGUAGCCAGUGAUGUCAAACUUCCAAGAAAAGCUUGUACACCAAAAAGAAAUUUUAAACAAUAAAAAUACUUGUACCUGAAACCGACACAGGUAGGUUGGUAGAGUAUACUAAGGGGCGCGAGAGAACUCUCUCUAAGGAACUCGGCAAAUUAACCCCGUAACUUCGGUAGAAGGGGUGCCUUAUUUCUAAAUAAGGUCGCAGAGAAAUGGCUUAAGCGACUGUUUAUCAAAAACACAGGUCUCCGCAAAGUCGAAAGACAAUAUAUGGGGGCUGACGCCUGCCCAGUGCCGGAAGGUUAAGGAAGUUGGUUAUUAUUAUUUAUAAUAAAAAGCUGAUAACCGAAGCCCCGGUGAACGGCGGUUGUAACUAUAACAAUCCUAAGGUAGCGAAAUUCAUUGUCAAGUAAGUUUUGACCUGCACGAAAGGCGUAACGAUUUAAGCACUGUCUCGGAGAGAGGCUCGGUGAAAUAGACUUGUCCGUGAAGAUGCGGACUAUAUCUACUUGGACAGAAAGACCCUAUGAAGCUUUACUGUAUCCUGGAAUUGGGUUCGGGCUUUUCUUGCGCAGUCUAGGUGGGAGGCGACGAAGAUCUUCUUCCGGGAAGGUCAGAGCCAAAAUUGAGAGACCACUCUGGAAGAGCUAGAAUCCUAAGGGUGUUCUUAAAAGAAAUGUAUAAGACACUUAACAGUUUCAGGAGGGCAGUUUCACUGGGGCGGUGGCCUCCUAAAGCGUAACGGAGGUGUGCAAAGGUUCUUUCAGCCUGGACGGAAAUCAGGCAUUGAGUGCAAAGGCAAAAGGGAGCUUGACUGCAAGACCUACAAGUCGAGCAGGGGCGAAAGCCGGCCUUAGUGAUCCGACGAUUCCAUGUGGAAGGGUCGUCGCUCAACGGAUAAAAGUUACUCUAGGGAUAACAGGCUUAUUUUCCCCAAGAGUUCACAUCGACGGGAAAGUUUGGCACCUCGAUGUCGGCUCAUCACAUCCUGGAGCGGUAGUACGUUCCAAGGGUUGGGCUGUUCGCCCAUUAAAGUGGUACGUGAGCUGGGUUCAAAACGUUGUGAGACAGUUCGGUCCAUAUCCG
rnacentral:rRNA from 1 species